rnacentral:rRNA from 1 species
GACGAACCGUGCAAACGUUGUUCGGAAUCACUGGGCUUAAAGGGCGCGUAGGCGGGCCAGCCAGUCUGUGGUGAAAGCCUCCAGCUUAACUGGAGAAGUGCCGUGGAUACUGCUGGCCUCGAGGAGGGUAGGGGCAUCUGGAACGGUCGGUGGAGCGGUGAAAUGCGUUGAUAUCGACCGGAACUCCGGUGGCGAAGGCGGCGUCCUGGACCAACACUGACACUGAUGAGCGAAAGCCAGGGGAGCAAACGGG